AGCGGAGGAAAAGAAAUUAACUAAGAUUGCCUUAGUAACGGCGAGUGAAGUGGCAAAAGCCCAAACUGGAAAUCUUCAUGCUUCGCAUGACGAAUUGUAAUCUAAAGAGUAGAAGCUCACCUGUUGAUGUCGCAGAAGUGCCUUAGAACGGGCCGCCAGAGAGGGUGACAGCCCCGUAUGUGGUGACAUUAGCUAACGAGCUCUGCUUGAAGAGUCGGGUAGUUUUGAAUUGCUGCCCUAAGUGGGAGAUAGACUUCUUCUAAGGCUAAAUACAUGUGGGAAACCGAUAGCGAACAAGUACUGUGAAGGAAAGAUGAAAAGAACUUUGAAAAGAGAGUCAAAAGACUUGAAAUCGUUGAGAAGGAAGCGGUAGAAAAUUAUUCUCUGCGGUAGCAAAGUGUUCCACACGAGUAUUGCAGCUGUACAGUACGUCAAAGGCUUGCAGUUGUACGUGCUUGUUGGAUUGCGGAGCUCACGCAGUGAGGCAAAAUGAGGUGUUGAAUCCACAAAAGCUUCUUGGAUCUGGGACUCUGCGGAGUUCAAUCCUGGUCUGCUGGUGGGAUUAACGCCUGAGGAUGCUCUGUGCGAUUUUGCCAAAAUGGUUUUUACCGACCCGUCUUGAAACACGGACCAAGGAGUCUAACAUAUAUGCGAGUGUGCUGGUGGAGAAACCAACACGCAUAAUGAAAGUAAGAGAUGCCAAGCGCAAGCAGCAGCAUCAACCGAUGAGGUUCCUCUGGUGCCUAUUCGAGUAAGAGCAUAUCUGUUAGGACCCGAAAGAUGGUGAACUAUGCCUGAGUAGGGUGAAGCCAGGGGAAACUCUGGUGGAGGCUCGUAGCGGUUCUGACGUGCAAAUCGAUCGUCAAACUUGGGUAUAGGGGCGAAAGACUAAUCGAACCAUCUAGUAGCUGGUUCCCUCCGAAGUUUCCCUCAGGAUAGCUGGGACAACAACGCAGUUUUAUUAGGUAAAGCGAAUGAUUAGAGGUAUCUGGGGUACCUUACCCUGGACCUAUUCUCAAACUUUAAAUUGGUAAGAACCUUUGCCUUUCUUAAUUGAGGUGAGGGGGUCAAUGCGUGUCCCUAGUGGGCCAUUUUUGGUAAGCAGAACUGGCGAUGAGGGUUGCUCCUAACGCUGAGUUAAGGUGCCUAAAUGCAUGCUCAUCAGACACUACAAAGGGUGUUGGUUCAUUUAGAC
rnacentral:rRNA from 1 species